AGAGUUUGAUCAUGGCUCAGGACGAACGCUGGCGGCGUGCUUAACACAUGCAAGUCGAGCGGAAAGGCCCUUCGGGGUACUCGAGCGGCGAACGGGUGAGUAACACGUGAGCAACCUGCCCUUAGCUCUGGGAUAGCUCCGGGAAACCGGGAUUAAUACCAGAUACGACCACUUUAGACAUCUGCUGUGGUGGAAAGAGUUUCGGCUAGGGAUGGACUCGCGGCCUAUCAGCUUGUUGGUGGGGUAACGGCCUACCAAGGCGACGACGGGUAGCCGGCCUGAGAGGGCGACCGGCCACACUGGGACUGAGACACGGCCCAGACUCCUACGGGAGGCAGCAGUGGGGAAUAUUGCGCAAUGGGCGAAAGCCUGACGCAGCGACGCCGCGUGGGGGAUGAAGGCCUUCGGGUUGUAAACCCCUUUCAGCAGGGACGAAGCGAAAGUGACGGUACCUGCAGAAGAAGCGCCGGCUAACUACGUGCCAGCAGCCGCGGUAACACGUAGGGCGCAAGCGUUGUCCGGAAUUAUUGGGCGUAAAGAGCUCGUAGGUGGUCUGUUGCGUCCGCUGUGAAAUCUCGGGGCUUAACCCCGAGCCUGCAGUGGAUACGGGCAGACUAGAGGUAGGUAGGGGAGAAUGGAAUUCCUGGUGUAGCGGUGAAAUGCGCAGAUAUCAGGAGGAACACCGGUGGCGAAGGCGGUUCUCUGGGCCUUACCUGACACUGAGGAGCGAAAGCGUGGGGAGCGAACAGGAUUAGAUACCCCUGUAGUCC
rnacentral:rRNA from 1 species